CCUUUGGCUCACACGCUCUUCCGGGCCUCUCCUUGUGGCCGCUCUGUCCUCUAGCUCAGUGCCGCUGUUUGGCCGGUGCUCUGCACCGCAUCAGUCCCUCAUUCCUUCGAAUCACGGAGCACCUAGUGUGCGCUUUCAUCUCUGCCGACAAGCUCCACGGGUGAGCCGAGUGAGUCCCUCCCCAUUGCGCUUGGCUGUGCGCCACCGUGUCCCUUAAACCGCGGCGGCAGCGUGUGCCGGUCCACGUUGUUUGGACCACGUAUGGACGCAGUAAUUCUGUGUAAAGUUACCUUUGAUUCAGCCUGGGGAUUGCGCACUGUCACUUCCAACCAUGGUGUCAGCGGGGGCCUGCAGCGGCGUGAGCACACCACCUUUGCUGUUUUGCUUUACGUUUGCUUUACUGUUUUGUUGUUUUGUUCUGUUUAGCUUCACUGUUUUGUUUUACUCUUGCUUUGCUUUAUUUUUGUUUAGUUUUACUUCUGGUUUUGGGGUUUCGUUUGGUAUUUUCAAUAUUGUGUACCUGUUUCUCCCACUGUAGUGUUUUACUGUUUCCCUAUUUUUAUGGAUGUAGCCACUUUUAAAUAACCUAAAACUGUCUUUUAAAAUGGAGAAAAUAAAGAUUGUGUAAAUGAUGGAA